rnacentral:rRNA from 1 species
UACGAACCGCACGAACGUUAUUCGGAAUCACUGGGCUUAAAGGGUGCGUAGGCGGUCUAGUAAGUUGGGUGUGAAAUCCCUCGGCUCAACCGAGGAAUUGCGCUCAAUACUGCUAGACUUGAGGGAGAUAGAGGUAAGCGGAACUCAGGGUGGAGCGGUGAAAUGUGUUGAUAUCCUGGGGAACACCAGUUGCGAAAGCGGCUUACUGGGUCUCUUCUGACGCUGAGGCACGAAAGCUAGGGUAGCGAACGGGAUUAGAUACCCCGGUAGUCCUAGCUGUAAACGUUGAGCACUUGGUUGACGUGCACUCCAUAGCAUGUCAGCCGUAGCGAAAGUGGUAAGUGCUCCGCCUGGGGAGUAUGGUCGCAAGGCUGAA